rnacentral:misc_RNA from 1 species
GUGAGGAGUACAAGCAGCGAAACAACUGCGGAUACGGGUGGAGACUACGUCCAUGUUAGGCAAUCUUCUAGCCUCAAUUAUAAACAAGUCAAGGUCCCCAUGAAGAUAGAUUGGCUGCUUUUCACUCUCAGAGAUCUCAGCCAUGGAAACAAAAUUUGUUAACAGAGUGCUGAAGUAAAGAAGAACAGAGUGAAAUUAUUGAAAUUGAAAGANNNNNNNNNNNNNGAUGUGGGUAAUGUAUGAAAGUGGAGAGAAAGUGACGAAGAAAGGAAUUUGAAGGUGAACUGUGAAUAGAGACAAGGAAAGGUUUCUAUACAGACGGUGUUUGCUUGCAGCAGUGAUCUUAGGCCUCGUGAAGAGCGAACACUGGUGGCUGGUGGGGUUGGGGGCAGUGAGGGAUUAUUUUAGUGAAUGAUUUAGAUUAAAUCAAAAUCAAGGCUAAUUCAAAAUAAAGACAGUCUUAUUAAUGGGUUUUGGGUAUUUUGGCGUGGGCGAAGAUCAGGCCAUGAUCAUGAAAGUGAAGGGAUUGUGAAUGUGAUGAACUGGCACCAUUUGAAGGCGGUGGUUGGAAGAUGGAGACAAGAUAGGUGAGGGUAGUG